rnacentral:rRNA from 1 species
UACGUAGGGGGCAAGCGUUGUCCGGAUUUAUUGGGCGUAAAGAGCGUGUAGGCGGCUUGGUAGGUCCGCUGUGAAAACUCGAGGCUCAACCUCGAGAUGUCGGCGGAAACCACUUGGCUAGAGUCCGGAAGAGGAGAGUGGAAUUCCCGGUGUAGCGGUGAAAUGCGCAGAUAUCAGGAAGAACACCAAUGGCGAAAGCAGCUCUCUGGGACGGUACUGACGCUGAGACGCGAAAGCGUGGGGAGCGAACAGG